AUGUUAUCACUGACAGACUCUUUAGUAAAAUAUAACCCUCUCAUUAGACACGUCAGCUUGAACCCUAACCAUAGACCGUAUGCUAACGAGUGGCCUGAAUGGAAUAGUCGAAGGUGUGCUGUUUGUCCCAUCGUGCUUGCCGUAUUUUUUAAACAUAGUUCCGGCUUGUUUAUGACCAACUGUUUGUCUCAGUGUGUUAAUGUAAAUAUACUCACGUUUCCAAUAAUGGGGAAUGCGCAGAGUUACAUUGUUGCCUCGCUCUCUGUAUGUUCUCUUUAUUUUGUUUAUGUUCACAUUUACCGCGCUCACAAGGUGUUGAAAUCAAACGUGCUGGAGAGCGACAAACUUCCAAGUUUUGUGUAUCUGUACAUCAAAUAUUUCAGCAAAUCUCUGACACGCAAAACAGGGAAUCUGUACGCAACACAAACCCGGAAGAAGUGUGAGUCUGUUUACACGGUGCUCAGCUGCAGGAUGGAGACUCUCGUGUUGAGGAGGUUCUGCAGUGCUGCAGGUUAUGGCUGGGAUUAUCCAGACUCUGAAUACAGAGACAUCCCACUGUGCUUCCCAGAGUUCCUCUGUGGCAGACUGCUGCUUAUGUUGCUGACUGAUGAAAACUUUAGGCUCAGCCCAGCAGGUCUAGUUCGUGUGCGUCAGAGUGUGAAAACUCUUCAGCCCAUCGAUGAGUUGAAGAAGGGUCCGUUCAUGCUGCGGAUCCAAGUCCUGGCAUACCAGCAGACUGAUGCAGGGGUGGAGGUGGACGUCUGUUUGUCUGCCACGUCCCGUUCUGGAUGUCUAGUGUGGGAGAGUGUCCUGACUCUGCUGUCCAAAAGCAAGUCCCACACGUCCAGCAGCUCUAUAGCAAGGACUGAACAUAAGGAUGAGCCAGCACCAGAAAAUGUGAAGCAGGUAGAGGUCAGAGUUCCCAGGACUACCACCCUGCAGCGUGUCGGCAUCAGAUCCCAGACAGCAUCGAGCCUCUGGAUGCUGUCUGUCUGCUUGGCUGAAAUAGAAAAGCACAAAGGAGUUGCAGUCAUCACAGCCCCCGUCACCAUCACUGCCCAGUUUAAAGAGCUUCUCUUGGUACCAGGAAAAGCCACAGUCAGGUUCUGGGAAGAAAAAAACUAUGGAGAUCAGUCCUCACUUCAGGCUCUCCGGUUCAACAUGCAGCAACCAGGACACAGCAUACCUCAUAUAGUGGGACUGAUUCUCAGGUCUUAAAGGUGCACAUUAGAUUUAACAUCAUCAUAUACACUCGGCAUAUUAUUAAAUCAGGCUUUCACAAAAAGACUAAUACAUUAUUUUUAAUAAAACCAAUUCAACAUGUGACA
rnacentral:lncRNA from 1 species